rnacentral:tRNA from 1 species
GCACUCGUAGUUCAACGGAUAGAACACGGGUUUGCGGAACCCGUGAUCCAGGUUCGAUUCCUGGCGAGUGCA